GGGCAAGUACCAGCACCUCAGCCUAGUCGGUGCAGGUGAUAGUUAUGAAGCUAAGUCCUAGGCCAGGAACAAGGCAGCCAGUCCAGCCAGCAUAGUUGACCCCUCUAUGGACUGGGGCCAGUGCAGCCACAGCAUUCCAGUGCUCAGCCCCUCAGCUGGGAGAUCAGCGACUGCUGCCACGUGCCCAGAAAUGGCUCGUCCUUUCACUACAGCGGAAUGCAAUGAGGGUGGGUGAGAAGAUGAUGGGUCGGUUAUUUCAUUCCUUUUCUUUUUACAACUUCACUUUCAGAGACUUCAGCGUUCCAUGUCUGCUGUGCUGUGGAACCCAGAGUGCUCUUGCCUGGAUGGCUGAGAAUCCCUUGGACCCUGGAAGCACCUACUCCAUGAUGGCCCGGUAUAGUGCAGGCUCAAUAUAAUCUUCCCGGUAUCUUGAGUUGAUAACUCGUUGCCGUUUCUUUUCUUGCUUAACCUCUUUCUCUGUGAAAAUCUCAUUGAAGCGCAUGUCUGAGGCUACUGACUAUAGAAGAAUAAGCAAGCCAAGUGUCAGCUACCCCAGGAACAAUACAAAGGGAUGCAUCCUUGACUUGUUCCCUCCCUCCAAGACAGGAACUGGGGGGACACAGAAAAUACUCACCAGUCUAGAUUUGACUCUCUUGGGAAGCUCUUCAUCCAGUGUGUAUACAUCAUCUCUCUUAACCACAAGUUGUGAGCCAUCCUCAAACUCCACCUACCAAGGAAACAAAGGCCUUUUGGCUAGGAUAUCCCUGACUCUUUCCCUGGUCCACCAUGCACAGUGGCAGUCCCCUACAGUCAAAGGAAGGAGUUAGAACACUAAAAUAACAACUACCUUACUUCACAUUUGGCAGACUGGAAACAGGGCAGACCCCUAGCUCUGAAAGGGUUACCAACCUAUUAGUUCUCCUAAGAGCAAAGACUCGCCUCUGGCCCAACAGGAAGCACAGAAUUAAUCAAGCACCCCCCACUCCCUAGAAAGGUAGAACUUUGGAUACCUGGUACAUUUGGAUAGGGUGGGAGGCCACAAACUUGGCUCCAUAGACUUGGCCGUCUGUCCAUCUCACUUGGACCACUUCCCCUUCAGCAGGAGGACCAAACUGGAGACAGUCCUGGCUCUGAGGAAACAGGAAGGAAGGAGGGUGAAAGGAACGUCCACCUGCACACAAAGGAAAGAUGAAAAAGAGUCACCUACCAUGGGACCUGGCAAAGUACUUCAGAACUUUUAUUCCUUCCAGAAGCAGUGUAUCACAAUAGAUUGAAUCAAGAAGUGACAUUAAGGCCAGCGCGGUGGCUCACGCCUGUAAUCCCACCACUUUGGGAGGCCGAGGCGGGCGGAUCACGAGAUCAGGAGAUCAAGACCAUCCUGGCUAACAUGGUGAAACCCCAUGUCUACUAAAAAUACAAAAAAUUAGCCGGGCAUGGUGGCGGGCGCCUGUAGUCCCAGCUACUCGGGAGGCUGAGGCAGGAGAAUGGCGUGAACCUGGGAGGUGAAGCCUGCAGUGAGCCAAGAUCAUGCCACCGUACUCCCGUACUCCAGCCUGGGCAACAGAGCAAGACUCCAUCUCAAAAAAAAAAAAAAAAGACAUUAAAGAGAUUUGCAAAAUUGCAGGGAAAUGGCAAUCUUUUGUUUUUGUUUUAGAAAAGUUAUUUUUAAUCUAAAAAAAUUGAUUAUUUUAAAUCAAUCUGCUUUAAUUUCUAAUAAGAAUAAAUACGUUUAGAUGUAACCCAGAGAAACACAGGCUCUUUGGGGUCUCUAACUUGUAGAAAAUGGAGUCCUGAAACCACUGUAAGUUAGAGAUAAUACCACAUCCUUCUCACAGUGGGUAUGAGAAGAUAAAGAGAUACUUGAAAUAACCACUUAGCAUAGUGCCUGGCAUACUGUACCAGCUUAAUAAAUUACAGCAAGGGCCAGGUAUGGUGGCUCAAACUCUUGUAAUCCCAGUGGUUUGGGGGCCCAAGAUGUGAGGAUCGCUUCAAGCUGCGAGAUCGAAACCAGCCUGAGCAACAAAGCAAGACCGUUGUUACUACAAAAAAUUUAAAAAUUAGCCAGGUGUGACUGCAUGUGCCUGUAGUCCCAGCUACCUGGGAAGCUGAAGCAGGAGGAUCACUUGAGUUCAGGAGUUUGAGAUUGCAGGAGCUAUGAUACAGCCACUGCACUCCAGCCUAAGUGACAGAGUGAGACCUGGUCUCUCUCAAAAAAAAAAAAAAAAAAAUAAGGCCAGGCACAGUGGCUCACGCCUGUAAUCCCACCACUUUGGGAGGCCAAGGUAGGCAGAUCACUUGAGCCCAGGAGUUUGAGACCAGCCUGGGCAACAUGGCAAAAGCCCGUCUCUACAAAAAAUUAAAAAAUUAGCCGGCUGUGGUGGUGCGUUCCUGUAGUCCCAGCUACCAGGGAGGCUGAGGUGGGAUGAUCACCUCAAUCCAGGAAGUUGAGGCUGCAGUGAGCUGAGAUUGUGCCACUGCACUCCAGCCUGGGCGUCAGAGUGAAACCCUGUCUCACAAAUAAAAUAUAAAUAAAUGAUAGCUAUGCUACUGCUAUGAGUACUACUAAUGUCGCCUUUUCUAUAAGUCUACCUUAUAACUAAUGAAUGUGCUUUUAGCAACUGAGUGGCUAAUGUGGUAUAAACAUGGGACAAUACCUGAUUUGUUAAAGGAAAAAAUGGUUUCAUUCCUCUCUACUUUGGUGGUCAGUCUACCAACUGAAAAGGCAAGGUGGGGGUAGGGGAAACCUGAACUAAGUCCUCACUACCAAGCCAGACCUAGGACUGGGUCCAUGUGGGGCCACUGUGUCUCAGGUGUUGAUAACAUAAACAGGCCAAGGGUGUCUCCAGGCAGUUUCUACUUAGCCCUAAAGCCCACUGUGAAGAGACAAAAGCAGAUUCUAUACAUCUACUAAGAGGGCCUGAUAGAAAAGAGAGUUGGAUAAUUCCCCUAAAAUCACACAGCUACUAGGCAAUGAAGCUGGUAUUGGCAUAUUUGAUUCCAAAGCCUGGGCUCUCCUAUUGCACUAGAAUGCCCUCAAGGAUAAUUUAGACGGCAACAGAUGCAGGUUUCAAGGAAUUGCAGAAAAUACUGAUUCCCAGGUACUUCUAGGGAAAAUAGGGUACCCUAGCAGCACGCAGUUUUCUUUGCAAAGAAAGACUGGUACAGAUGAUUCUUUCUGUUUGAGGACAUGGUGAUGGGACCAGGGACCUGGCUAGAAGAAGCAGGCAUACACACACAGUCUGCCAGCCAGACCUUAGAAACAUCCCCCCAUUCCAAACUGCCUGAGAAGCUCCUUGCAGAUAUUACCACUAUGUCCUCAGGAUAAAGAUUGUCGCUGAAGGAGCCAUCAUCAAAGUUGACUUCAUAGAAGGUCUCGGUGGUG
rnacentral:lncRNA from 10 species